AGAACGAACGCUGGCGGCAGGCCUAAUACAUGCAAGUCGAACGAUGUAGCAAUACAUAGUGGCGCACGGGUGAGUAACGCGUGGGAAUCUGCCCAUUAGUACGGAAUAACUGCGGGAAACUGCAGCUAAUACCGUAUACGCCCUUCGGGGGAAAGAUUUAUCGCUAAUGGAUGAGCCCGCGUAAGAUUAGCUAGUUGGUGGGGUAAAAGCCUACCAAGGCUACGAUCUUUAGCUGGUCUGAGAGGACGACCAGCCACACUGGAACUGAGACACGGUCCAGACUCCUACGGGAGGCAGCAGUAGGGAAUAUUGGACAAUGGGGGAAACCCUGAUCCAGCCAUGCCGCGUGAGUGAUGAAGGCCUUAGGGUUGUAAAGCUCUUUUACCGAGGGAAGAUAAUGACGGUACCUGGAGAAUAAGUUCCGGCUAACUUCGCGCCAGCAGCCGC
rnacentral:rRNA from 1 species